rnacentral:rRNA from 1 species
GACGAACGCUGGCGGCGUGCUUAACACAUGCAAGUCGAACGGAAAGGCCCUGCUUUUGUGGGGUGCCCGAGUGGCGAACGGGUGAGUAACACGUGAGUAACCUGCCCUUGACUUUGGGAUAACUUCAGGAAACUGGGGCUAAUACCGGAUAGGAGCUCCUGCUGCAUGGUGGGGGUUGGAAAGUUUCGGCGGUUGGGGAUGGACUCGCGGCUUAUCAGCUUGUUGGUGGGGUAGUGGCUUACCAAGGCUUUGACGGGUAGCCGGCCUGAGAGGGUGACCGGCCACAUUGGGACUGAGAUACGGCCCAGACUCCUACGGGAGGCAGCAGUGGGGAAUAUUGCACAAUGGGCGGAAGCCUGAUGCAGCAACGCCGCGUGCGGGAUGACGGCCUUCGGGUUGUAAACCGCUUUCGCCUGUGACGAAGCGUGAGUGACGGUAAUGGGUAAAGAAGCACCGGCUAACUACGUGCCAGCAGCCGCGGUGAUACGUAGGGUGCGAGCGUUGUCCGGAUUUAUUGGGCGUAAAGGGCUCGUAGGUGGUUGAUCGCGUCGGAAGUGUAAUCUUGGGGCUUAACCCUGAGCGUGCUUUCGAUACGGGUUGACUUGAGGAAGGUAGGGGAGAAUGGAAUUCCUGGUGGAGCGGUGGAAUGCGCAGAUAUCAGGAGGAACACCAGUGGCGAAGGCGGUUCUCUGGGCCUUUCCUGACGCUGAGGAGCGAAAGCGUGGGGAGCGAACAGGCUUAGAUACCCUGGUAGUCCACGCUGUAAACGGUGGGUACUAGGUGUGGGGUCCAUUCCACGGGUUCCGUGCCGUAGCUAACGCUUUAAGUACCCCGCCUGGGGAGUACGGCCGCAAGGCUAAAACUCAAAGGAAUUGACGGGGCCCCGCACAAGCGGCGGAGCAUGCGGAUUAAUUCGAUGCAACGCGUAGAACCUUACCUGGGUUUGACAUGGAUCGGGAGUGCUCAGAGAUGGGUGUGCCUCUUUUGGGGUCGGUUCACAGGUGGUGCAUGGCUGUCGUCAGCUCGUGUCGUGAGAUGUUGGGUUAAGUCCCGCAACGAGCGCAACCCUUGUUCACUGUUGCCAGCACGUUAUGGUGGGGACUCAGUGGAGACCGCCGGGGUCAACUCGGAGGAAGGUGGGGAUGACGUCAAGUCAUCAUGCCCCUUAUGUCCAGGGCUUCACGCAUGCUACAAUGGCUGGUACAGAGAGUGGCGAGCCUGUGAGGGUGAGCGAAUCUCGGAAAGCCGGUCUCAGUUCGGAUUGGGGUCUGCAACUCGACCUCAUGAAGUCGGAGUCGCUAGUAAUCGCAGAUCAGCAACGCUGCGGUGAAUACGUUCCCGGG